rnacentral:lncRNA from 1 species
ACUACCUCUCCGGAGCCCAAAACAACCCCUAAACGACAACACAAAAACUUGGGAAAUGAGUUGAACAUUCCGUUUGCUGAAGACUGUUGUGCUUUCCCACAGUUUUGGCAUCCUUGAGGCAAACUUGAGAGUGGGGGUACUGGGUACCUCUCCUUCUUGGUGGCCUUUCUUCCUGCUGUUUUUCCCACAGCCUCAGAUCAGCUCCUGGAAACAAAGUCACCGUUCUGAGAUGCUGCUGGAUUUCGGGAGCACGUUGCUCUGCUGGAGCCUCCCAGGAUUAUAAACUGGGGGAAGGCAGCUUCCCGACCCUGAAAGCUUACAGCCCAAAGGCAAAAGCAGGAAGAAGCGGCAUCCAAAAAACAUCUGAUACAACGGAGAAAAUAGCACAUGACACACCAGAAAGAAAGGCCACAGGCAGAUUCCUCCACACAUUGACUGAAACCUCAGCAUAAGCACUCAGGACCCAGAGCUCCCUCAGUCUGCCUGUGGCCCGGCUUUGACCACUUUAGGAAAAACAGAUUUCUUCUGUGUGUAACCCGCGUUCCGAGCAGCCCCAAUACAUCCUUUUUCCCCUAGAAGUCUGAAGAGAGUAGACGUCAUGUUUCAGAAGAGUUCCAACAGUUAAGGUUAGGCAUUUAUUCAAAAAAUCAGUUGAAAAAUCCUCCAUAGUCAUUGGUUUGCACAUUUGUUCAUUUGUUUUAUCAGUGCCGGGGGCAAUAACUAUGUGCUAGGGAUAGAGAGAGGUUGAGGGACCAUCCAGUCUUUUGGGUAAAGAAUCAUAGGAUUAUGAUACGAGUGUUUGGGGCCAUGGUAAACAUGCUCAUGAUUCCAUAGGAGCCCCUGAGGAGGGGGGAGCCCUUGUCUAGUCUGAGGCUGGCUGGGGUGGAGUCAGGGAGGGCUUCCUGGAGUAGGUGAGCAUGCACUAAAUAGAUGAGCUGAAGCAAAACUCUUACAUAGAUGUUUUAGGACAUAGCGUUAGGAGAUGAAUGAGCAAAUGCUGAUUUGUAAUGGAACCACA